rnacentral:lncRNA from 1 species
AUGAAAACCAGACACUUGCUUUUGUUCAUCUCAGAUUCAAUCUUAUACACCCCUGCAAUGGCUUUGCUGGCGUUCGUCACGGUGAGCCAUCUGAUUGUAACAGAGCCUGCACCAACCUCAGCUCCGGUAUCCCAGGUGGCCCUGGUCAGCAGCGGGACGGCAGCUGCGGAGCCUGGAUCUUGGUCCAGCCGUAUUGCCGUGGUGGUGGUGCCGGUGGUGGGGUCAGUGAUGGUGGCGGCGCUGUUGAUAUGGCAGAUAAAGAAUAUUGCUCGCUACGUGCGCUCGUUCGGCAGCCGUCAUGAUUUCCCUGCCAGAGCCGCCCCGUCCCAGCAGGCCAGCGACUCAGGCCCCAUGCAGGAGCUGGCAGAGCUGACGCAGCUGGAGGACGCCAGAGGUGGGGACCGGUCAGCUCUGCUGAAUGGGAAACUUCUCGGCAGCGCUGAAAUGCUAAACGUGGGGGACUGGAGAGUGGGGAGGGAUGAACCCUGUCCCUCAACAUCCACUCAAUGUGCAGUGGCAGUCAAGACUGGUACUUUUUAGCUUGGAAAAGAGAUGACUAACGGGGGAUACAAUGGAGGUCUAUAAAAUCAUGACUGGGUUGGAGAAAGUAAAUAAGGAAGUGUUGUUUAUUCCUUCUCAUAACACAAGAACUAGGGGUCACCAAAUGAAAUGAAUAGGCAGCAGUUUUAAAACAAAUAAAAGGAAGUAUUUCUUCA